CAUGUACUCCCUCCGUCCGAAAAUACUUGUCGAAGGAAUGGAUGUAUCUAGACGAAAUUUAGUUUUAGAUACAUCCAUUUUCAUCCAUUUCUCCGACAAGUAUUUCCGGACGGAGGGAGUACUAG
rfam:Triticum aestivum genome assembly, contig: Triticum_aestivum_CS42_TGACv1_scaffold_515405_6BS